rnacentral:rRNA from 1 species
ACGAACGCUUGCGGCGUGCUUAACACAUGCACGUCGAACGGAAAGGCCCCUUUGUGUGUACUCGGGUGGCGAACGGGUGAGUAACACGUGAGUAACCUGCCCUUGACUUCGGGAUAACUUCAGUACACUGGGGCUAAUACCGGAUAGGAAUCCUUGCUGCAUGGUGUGGGUUGGAAAGCUUCGGCUGUCUUGGAUGGACUCGCGGCUUAUCAGCUUGUUGGUGGGGUAGUGUCUUACCAAGGCUUUGACUGGUAGCCUGCCUGGGAGGGCGACCGGCCAAAUUGGGAAUGAGAAACGGACCAGAAUCCCAAGGGAGGCAGCAGGGGGGAAUAUUGCACAAUGGGCGGAAGCCUGAUGCCGCAACGCCGCGGGCGGGAUGAAGGCCUUCGGGUUGGAAACCGCUUUCAGCAGGGGAGAAGCUUGUGGUGACGGUACCUGCAGAAGAAGCACCGGCUAACUACGUG